ACCAGACUCCUACGGGAGGCAGCAGUGGGGGAUAUUGCACAAUGGGGGAAACCCUGAUGCAGCGACGCCGCGUGAGUGAAGAAGUAUUUCGUUACGUAAAGCUCUAUCAGCAGGGAAGAAAAUGACGGUACCUGACUAAGAAGCCCCGGCUAACUACGUGCCAGCAGCCGCGGUAAUACGUAGGGGGCAAGCGUUAUCCGGAAUUACUGGGUGUAAAGGGAGCGCAGACGGCAGUGCAAGUCUGGAGUGAAAGCCCGUGGCUUAACCACGGGACUGCUCUGGAAACUGUGCAGCUAGAGUGCAGGAGAGGCAGGCGGAAUUCCUAGUGUAGCGGUGAAAUGCGUAGAUAUUAGGAGGAGCACCGGUGGCGAAGGCGG
rnacentral:rRNA from 1 species